rnacentral:rRNA from 1 species
AUUGAACGCUGGCGGCAGGCCUAACACAUGCAAGUCGAGCGGAUGAAGGGAGCUUGCUCCUGGAUUCAGCGGCGGACGGGUGAGUAAUGCCUAGGAAUCUGCCUGGUAGUGGGGGAUAACGUCCGGAAACGGGCGCUAAUACCGCAUACGUCCUGAGGGAGAAAGUGGGGGAUCUUCGGACCUCACGCUAUCAGAUGAGCCUAGGUCGGAUUAGCUAGUUGGUGGGGUAAAGGCCUACCAAGGCGACGAUCCGUAACUAGUCGGAGAGGAUGAUCAGUCACACGGGAACUGAGACACGGUCCAGACUCCUACGGGAGGCAGCAGUGGGGAAUAUUGGACAAUGGGCGAAAGCCUGAUCCGGCCAUGCCGCGUGUGUGAAGAAGGUCUUCGGAUUGUAAAGCACUUUAAGUUGGGAUGAAGGGCAGUAAGUUAAUACCUUGCUGUUUUGACGUUACCAACAGAAUAAGCACCGGCUAACUUCGUG